UGACUCAGUUGGUAGAGCAUGGUGUUUGCAACGCCAGAGUUGUGGGUUCAAUUCCCAC
rnacentral:tRNA from 1 species